UAAACGGUUCUUUUAAGGACCACAAUAAUUUUAUAAACGUAGCG
rfam:Trichomalopsis sarcophagae strain Alberta scaffold4939, whole genome shotgun sequence.